GUGCCAGCCGCCGCGGUAAUACCGGCAGCUCAAGUGAUGGCCACUCUUAUUGGGCCUAAAGCGUCCGUAGCUGGCUGCGCAAGUCCGUCGGGAAAUCCACUCGCUUAACGAGUGGGCGUCCGGCGGAAACUGUGCGGCUUGGGACCGGAAGAUCCAAGGGGUACGUCCGGGGUAGGAGUGAAAUCCCGUAAUCCUGGACGGACCACCGAUGGCGAAAGCACCUUGGAAGGACGGAUCCGACAGUGAGGGACGAAAGCUAGGGUCUCGAACCGGAUUAGAUACCCCAGUAGUCC
rnacentral:rRNA from 1 species